AAAUCUCAGGCAAAAGGGGGGCGAUGGGGUUGUAGCUGGCCUCUAGGGGCAUGUGCACACUUUGUCUCUCUCUUUCUUGCUUGUUUUU
rnacentral:rRNA from 1 species